UGCCUCCCGCCCCCAUGUCUUAGGUUCAAUCCCUUGUUGCCAUUUUCCCUCAUUUUUUCUAAUUUUUUUCAUUUCUUUUUCACCCUUAUUUUUUAUUUUCUUUCCCAUUUUUUAGCCAUCCUAAUGAGUUUCUUUCUGAUUUUUUGUGAUGUCUACUUCUUAUUUGUGGCAUUAUCUUUACAAUUAAUUUUUUUUUUUUUUUCACUUAUUUUAUCUCGAUUACAACCAUUGUAAAAGCACCCUUUGAUUGUUUAAAAUAAUGCAAUAGUUAUUGGAUUUUUG
rnacentral:lncRNA from 1 species